ACAGAUUUCCCCACGCAGAUGCUGUGUGUCACAGUGGGAAUGAGCAGUGUCACUUUUUACGUCCAGUCAUAUUGUAUGAAAUUGCAACAAAUUCAAAAAGAUGCCAUCAUGGGAGUGUGAUUUAUGGUCUGCAUUAUGUCUGGAGCCAGAAGUAAGCUUGCUCUUUUCCUCUGCGGCUGUUACGUGGUUGCCCUGGGAGCCCACACCGGGGAGGAGAGCGUGGCUGAACAUCACGAGGCUGAAUAUUACAUGGCUGCCGUGUACGAGCAUCCAUCCAUCUUGAGUCUGAACCCUCUGGCUCUCGUCAGCCGCCAGGAGGCCUUGGAGCUCAUGAACCAGAACCUUGACAUCUAUGAACAGCAAGUGAUGACUGCAGCCCAAAAGGGUGUACAGAUUAUAGUGUUUCCAGAAGAUGGCAUUCAUGGAUUCAACUUUACAAGAACAUCCAUUUAUCCAUUUUUGGACUUCAUGCCGUCUCCCCAGGUGGUCAGGUGGAACCCAUGCCUGGAGCCUCACCGCUUCAGUGACACAGAGGUGAUUCCUGCCUUUUUCCUCAGUAGGCUGAGGGUACACAGAGGUGAACUAAGUCAGGGACCAGAGCUGUGACAUGUUAACUAAGAUUGAUAGGAGACCUUAAGAUCCC
rnacentral:sRNA from 1 species